UGGUGUGUAGCUCAGUGGUAGAGCACUUGCCUAGCAUGCACCAGGUCCUGGGUUCAAUCCCCAGCACCCCCA